rnacentral:lncRNA from 1 species
GGCGCCGGGUGGUGCGGCGGCGAAGCCUCGCUGCAUGGUGUGAUGAUGUGUUUUUUAGAGCGCCUCGCGUCCCAGCAGAGCCCUGCGAGCAUCCUACUCAGGUGAUGAGGAACCCUUCGUGCACCCAGCGCAGAACGCCGCUGCCGCUGGACGCCUCCAUUGUUUGACCACAACAAGGGCCGGAUUCUCACCCAGGAUCCUCAGCCUUCUGUAGCCCUUCAGCCACUGUGGGCCCUGCCUCUGCCUCCUCUUCUGGAAUGUCUUGGGGGUUUUGACUCCUGGCACCGUGGUAAGUUUUCCCCUUGUUGCACCAUUUUUCCUACAUGGAGAUGCCCCCUCAGGCAUUUCUAAACUGAAGCCGUCUCUGGAGUAUUUUCUAAGCCUGUGCCUUUUGGGCCUCAGUGAAGAAGAAAGUCUCCC